AGCGAACGCUGGCGGCAGGCUUAACACAUGCAAGUCGAACGGGCGUAGCAAUACGUCAGUGGCAGACGGGUGAGUAACGCGUGGGAACGUACCUUUUGGUUCGGAACAACACAGGGAAACUUGUGCUAAUACCGGAUAAGCCCUUACGGGGAAAGAUUUAUCGCCGAAAGAUCGGCCCGCGUCUGAUUAGCUAGUUGGUGAGGUAACGGCUCACCAAGGCGACGAUCAGUAGCUGGUCUGAGAGGAUGAUCAGCCACAUUGGGACUGAGACACGGCCCAAACUCCUACGGGAGGCAGCAGUGGGGAAUAUUGGACAAUGGGCGCAAGCCUGAUCCAGCCAUGCCGCGUGAGUGAUGAAGGCCCUAGGGUUGUAAAGCUCUUUUGUGCGGGAAGAUAAUGACGGUACCGCAAGAAUAAGCCCCGGCUAACUUCGUGCCAGCAGCCGCGGUAAUGUCUGUACU
rnacentral:rRNA from 1 species